rnacentral:rRNA from 1 species
UACAGAGGGUGCGAGCGUUAAUCGGAAUUACUGGGCGUAAAGCGCGCGUAGGCGGCUUUGCAAGCCGGAUGUGAAAUCCCCGGGCUUAACCUGGGAACUGCAUUCGGGACUGCAUUGCUAGAGUAUGGGAGAGGGAAGUGGAAUUUCAGGUGUAGCGGUGAAAUGCGUAGAUAUCAGGAGGAACACCGAUGGCGAAGGCAGGUCUCUGGGCAUUAACUGACGCUGAGGAGCGAAAGCAUGGGGAGCGAACAGG